AGUGAACGCUGGCGGUAGGCCUAACACAUGCAAGUCGAACGGCAGCACAGUAAGAGCUUGCUCUUACGGGUGGCGAGUGGCGGACGGGUGAGGAAUACAUCGGAAUCUACUUUUUCGUGGGGGAUAACGUAGGGAAACUUACGCUAAUUCCGCAUACGACCUACGGGUGAAAGCAGGGGAUCUUCGGACCUUGCGCGAUUGAAUGAGCCGAUGUCGGAUUAGCUAGUUGGCGGGGUAAAGGCCCACCAAGGCGACGAUCCGUAGCUGGUCUGAGAGGAUGAUCAGCCACACUGGAACUGGGACACGGUCCAGACUCCUACGGGAGGCAGCAGUGGGGAAUAUUGGACAAUGGGCGCAAGCCUGAUCCAGCCAUACCGCGUGGGUGAAGAAGGCCUUCGGGUUGUAAAGCCCUUUUGUUGGGAAAGAAAAGCAGCAGGUUAAUACCCCGCUGUUCUGACGGUACCCAAAGAAUAAGCACCGGCUAACUUCGU
rnacentral:rRNA from 1 species